GCACAAUGGGCGCAAGCCUGAUGCAGCCAUGCCGCGUGUAUGAAGAAGGUCCUUCGGGUUGUAAAGUACUUUCAGCAGUGAGGAAGGCGGAGUUCGUUAAUAGCGGCCUCGUUUGACGUUUAGCUGCAGAAGAAGCACCGGCUAACUCCGUGCCAGCAGCCGCGGUAAUACGGAGGGUGCGAGCGUUAAUCGGAAUUACUGGGCGUAAAGCGCAUGCAGGUGGUUUGUUAAGUCAGGAUGUGAAAGCCCGGGGCUCAACCUCGGAAUUGCAUUUGAAACUGGCAGACUAGAGUACUGUAGAGGGGGUAGAAUUUCAGGUGUAGCGGUGAAAAUGCGUAGAGAUCUGAAGGAAUACCGGUGGCGAAGGCGGCCCCCUGGACAGAUACUGACACUCAGAUGCGAAAGCGUGGGGAGCAAACAGGAUUAGAUACCCUGGUAG
rnacentral:rRNA from 1 species